rnacentral:rRNA from 1 species
CCCUUAGAAGUUCUGGGCUGCACGCGCGCGACACUGAUGCGCUCAAGGAGUUUACGACCUUGCCUGGAAAGGUUGGGUAAUCUUCUUAAAAAACAUCGUGAUGGAGCUAGAUUAUUGCAACUAUUAAUCUUCAACGAGGAAUUCCUAGUAAGCGCGAGUCAUCAGCUCGUGCUGAUUACGUCCCUGCCCUUCGUACACACCGCCCGUCGCUCCUACCGAUUGCGUGCUACUGAAUAAUUCGGACUGCAGCAACGUUCGGUUCCUGAAUGUCGCAGUGGAAAGUUUAGUGAACCUUAUCACUUAGAGAAAAAAAAAGUCGUAACA